GAUGAACGCUGGCGGCGUGCCUAAUACAUGCAAGUCGAGCGAAUGGGUUAAGAGCUUGCUCUUAUGAAGUUAGCGGCGGACGGGUGAGUAACACGUGGGUAACCUGCCCAUAAGACUGGGAUAACUCCGGGAAACCGGGGCUAAUACCGGAUAACAUUUUGAACCGCAUGGUUCGAAAUUGAAAGGCAGCUUCGGCGGGCACUUAUGGAUGGACCCGCGUCGCAUUAGCUAGUUGGUGAGGUAACGGCUCACCAAGGCAACGAUGCGUAGCCGACCUGCGAGGGUGAUCGGCCACCCUGGGACUGAGACACGGCCCAGACUCCUACGGGAGGCAGCAGUAGGGAAUCUUCCGCAAUGGACGAAAGUCUGACGGAGCAACGCCGCGUGAGUGAUGAAGGCUUUCGGGUCGUAAAACUCUGUUGUUAGGGAAGAACAAGUGCUAGUUGAAUAAGCUGGCACCUUGACGGUACCUAACCAGAAAGCCACGGCUAACUACGUGCCAGCCGCCGCGGUAA
rnacentral:rRNA from 1 species